GUCUAUGGCCACACCACCCUGAACACGCGGGGUCUUGUCUGAUCAGGGAAGCGAAACGGGGUGGGGGUGGGGCAGAAAGACUGCCUAGUUACACCGAGGGGCCACAGGCA
rnacentral:rRNA from 1 species